UACAGAGGUCUCGAGCGUUGUUCGGAUUCAUUGGGCGUAAAGGGUGCGUAGGUGGUCGUGUAAGUCGGAUGUGAAAUCCCGGGGCUCAACCCCGGAACUGCAUUCGAUACUGCUCGGCUUGAGUACUGGAGAGGAGAUCGGAAUUUACGGUGUAGCAGUGAAAUGCGUAGAUAUCGUAAGGAAGACCAGUGGCGAAGGCGGAUCUCUGGACAGUUACUGACACUGAGGCACGAAGGCCAGGGGAGCAAACGGG
rnacentral:rRNA from 1 species